AGGCCAAAAGUACUUAAUUUAAUUUGCCAUUUGUCCCCCUUAAAUCAAAAGUGACAUGUUGUGGUAACAAGCGUGCAUCUGCCUCAGUGACAGAUGACAGUUGUAAUGUAGCAGCAUUUUCUCCUGAUGGUCAACCUCUUUGGCAGGCGGCCGACUUCUCCUUUUCACCUCUAUACUCAUUUAAAUACAUUUGUGAGGCCUAAAGGGGUUAUUUAAGUCAGAUUUGUGUCGGAAAACUUUAUUUUAUUCUUGUGUGACAUCCUGUAAAACAUCUUAUGGCCUGAAAGAUGCUGCUCUACAGUUUCCAACGAAAAAAUCAGGUUGUGCUUGAGGUUUUUUUAAUCGCGCAAGUUCAGUUGUUAAAGAUCAUUUAAUGCAGCUUUGGUUCACGAUUGGGCUGAAUGAUUUCAUUCAGCCUUUGUAUUUUAGUUCAGCUGUUGUCCCCGAAGAGAAACUGGCCUGCAGCAAGUCAUACGAGAUAUUAAAUCCAAUGACAUGAUAAAAUCUUUACAGCCACAUUAAACAUCCAUGAGAGAAUAUGUGUGCGUAAAUAUCUGUGUGUGCAAGAGAACAUCUGGGAUCUUUACAGCCAGCCUUUGUCAUGGUGGUUUGAUGUCAUGCUACACGCAGUCAUGGAGGACGAGUGGAUGCAUGCAGAGCGACGGGUUCGGUCUGUCUUCCAGCCCAGUGCUCCACCUUCUGAAUCAGUGAAGUUAGAGGGGUCAGUUUGUGUCCCAGUCACAUCCAACCAGGUCAAAAAUCUGGGCCACCAAAAGUUUCUUUGGCUGCAGACUUUGUGAGCAUCGCUGCCGCAGUUGAAGAUGUUUUGUGAAAUGUUUUCAGCAAACCUUCCCCUUGUAAGUAAACCAAGCUGCGCCCCUGCACGUUUCCUCUGUUGAUUUAAUAACCUUUCCUCUGUCCGCGGAAAGUUGACUGGGCGGUGCUGAUCUAAUAUUGUGGCACACAACACUUUUCAGCGAGUUUCUUGUAUCUCUGUGCAGCAGUGAGAGUUAGUAUAGUAAAGCUGCAUGUUGAACAAAAUAACUUUCAGGCGAACUGCAAGCUCGGCAGGUGAUUUUAUCUCGUGUCCCGGCUCAGGCAGCUCAUUUCAUGCAGUCAAAUUAUCUUCAAGCUCUGGCUGAUAAUGCUGCUGGGUUUGAUCAAGUUGUAUGUGAUGCAUGCCAGUCUGAAAAAUAAAGAAUGUAAUCCCUGAAGGAGGGGGAGGAUUUCACCUCGACGAAGUGUUCAGUUCAGACUUAACUCUCAUCUUGUUGGUUGAUUGAUCUGCAGCAGUAAUGAGCCAGAAGAAACAAGAUCACAACGGAGUUAAGUAUGAACGGGCACGAUACAGUGGAUCGCGGUUUCCUGUUGGAAACAGUUUCCCCAUCAGUUUGUCUCGUUUUAGCAAACUGAUGGCUGGGAGGGCGAACUGUGUUGUUGCCUACUGCUGAGAUGAAGCAGUCGAUGGGGGGUUACGGGCGGCUCGCUGGCGGUUGAUUACAGCCCACAUCCAGUAAAGCGUUGUUAACGGGAUGCGUUUGAUCCCUGGCAGCUGUGACACGACUGGCGUGCUCACAACUCUGCACAUGGAUUUAUUUCAUGAAGGAUCGAUGUUUCUGCAAACUGCCUCCUCGUGCCUUUGCUGCAGUGUUGAUCUUUAAUAGUUACAAGCCAAAUCAAAGGUGGAUUCUCCAGGGUAAUACUGCGUGUAAAUUAUUUCGUAUUCAUACAGUAAAUAAACAGCAAAUACAUUGAUUAGAAAAGUGUGAAAAUGUGAUUAAUAAAAACAGACAAGGAAAGUUUACCUCAGCCUCAAGUGUUUAUGUUGACCCAAACUUACCUGCAGACUCAAACUGUUUCCGGCGUCAGAGUCCACCAUCCUGGUCCGCCUCCCUGUGACUCCAGUGUGGCUCGUAAAUAUGAUGUUUGGUUCAGUCGUCUCUGAACAUAAUCCAGGCUACGAUUACUUUCCUCCUUUUAACAUUUGUUGUUGUAGAUUUGUUGCAUAUAAACAUAAUUUCAGACAUUAAUGUGAGAAGGCCCCAGCAUAUUGGCAGUUAAUAAUCAUGAAAGUCACGUAAUUCAUAAUUUUGCAUCUAAAACAAGUGAUGUACUCCCACUGCAUUCACCAGAGGAAAUAUAAUUAGAGACCCUCUCUCAUAAUUAUAACUUUCUAUCUGAUAAUUAUGAGAAAAGGACUCAUAAUUAUAAGACAAAAUGUGCUGGUCAGACUCUGUGAUCUGAUUAGGGAUUUCAAAUAAAACUGCAAACGCUUUAUCAGACUUUGCUGGAUGGUUUAUUGUGAUACGCUCAGACAAGACCCUGAUCUGAUGUUCAGUCAGGUUUAGAAAACAACUGACAAUGAAAACAGUGGGAACAAUGAUCCAAGACUUAAGCAGAGCUGUUAAUUCAAAAGAUUAUCAGUUAUUUCACUUGAAGAAAAGUCAGUCCGUGCACCAUUUUCCCAACAGUUUAUUGCUCUUGUUCAGCUGUGAGUGGCUGCUCACAUGUACUCAGUGCUUUGUCAGUUUGUUUGGUUAGAGUCAGUCUGUAGGGUGUAGAGGGAGGGACUGGGUGGAGCUCUGGUCCUGACUUCCUGCAGCUCAGCUCUAACGAGGAGCUGACUGACACCUGUGACCUCAGCUGAAUUCAGCAACCGCGAGAACAAAGAAGCAGCAUGACUGCAUUACUGCAGUACCACAACUACCACUCUAAUACUGUAACACUGCAGCUAAUGCAGACAGCUCAGGCUGGCUGAGGAACUGGAGAAGGGAUUAUUUCUGCGCUGCCGUUCAGUCAGUCUGGCUCUCGGACGCCUUUGAGGACUCUUUGGAGAAACUUUGAAACCAAAACAAGCUUUAAACCAGCAUGUAUUAAAUACUGCCAUCAGAGCUUUGAAAAGA